ACUAGGGAUCGGGCCACCUCAACUAUGAUGUGUUGCUCGGCACCUUACGAGAAAUCAAAGUCUUUGGGUUCUGGGGGGAAUAUUGUCCCAAGGCUGAAACUUAAAGGAAUUGACGGAAGGGCACCACCAGGUGUGGAGCCUGCGGCUUAAUUUGACUCAACACGGGGAAACUCACCAGGUCCAGACAUAACUAGGAUUGACAGAUUGAUAGCUCUUUCAUGAUUUUAUGG
rnacentral:rRNA from 1 species